GCACUCUCGAAUCAUCUAGUCUACAUAUUCAUUACAAGGUUCACCGCAGCAUUUUGUGGCAUAUUCUGCACUCACGGCCAUGGCAAUGGCGUAAAACCUCCAAGAACCACAAUUUAUUUCGGUUCACUCGACUCAAGACCUACAGUUCGAUAAGUUGUGUGGUUCGAUUAUCCGAGACGAAAUGAAUUAUGUAAAAGUGAUGAUAAUUUUUUUCAUUUGUAUUAGUCAUUUCACCUGCGAAUGUUCUAGUGCACCCAAUAAAGGUUUAGUCAUGAGACUAUUACUACAUGAACAUUCACCUUCCAUUGAAUAUAAAUAUGUGGUGAAAACGAUACUACCUAAAGAACAACGAUGGUGGAAGCGAGGAACCCAUCGACUUUUCGCCGAAGAAUCUUCACCGAAAAUAAUAGAAGCCUAGACUAUAUAAUCCGCACACACGUAUAUGUCGAGACUAGUCAUAUUUAUCAUAAAAACUUAUAAAUAUUUAUUUUUUAUCAAGACUUCAUUACACUUUUGUAACGUG